UAACACAUGCAAGUCGAACGAAGUAGCAAUACUUAGUGGCAGACGGGUGAGUAACAUGGGGGUAUCUACCCUUUGGCCUGGAAUAACACGAGGAAACUUGUGCUAAUACCGGAUAAGUCUUUACGGAGAAAGCUUUAUGCACCAAUGGAUGAGCCCGCACUUGAUUAGUUUGUUGGUGGGGUAAUAGCCUACCAAGACUAUGAUCAAUAGCUGAUUUGAGAGGAUGAUCAGCCACAUUGGGACUGAGACACGGCCCAAACUCCUACGGGAGGCAGCAGUGGGGAAUCUUGCACAAUGGAGGAAACUCUGAUGCAGCGAUGCCGCGUGAGUGAAGAAGGCCUUUGGGUUGUAAAGCUCUUUCGUCGGGGAAGAAAAUGACUGUACCCGAAUAAGAAGGUCCGGCUAACUUCGUGCCAGCAGCCGCGGUAAUACGAAGGGACCUAGCGUAGUUCGGAAUUACUGGGCUUAAAGAGUUCGUAGGUGGUUGAAAAAGUUGGUGGUGAAAUCCCAGAGCUUAACUCUGGAACUGCCAUCAAAACUUUUCAGCUAGAGUAUGAUAGAGGAAAGCAGAAUUUCUAGUGUAGAGGUGAAAUUCGUAGAUAUUAGAAAGAAUACCAACUGCGAAGGCAGCUUUCUGGAUCAUUACUGACACUGAGGAACGAAAGCAUGGGUAGCGAAGAGGAUUAGAUACCCUCGUACUCCAUGCCGUAAACGAUGUGUGUUAGACGUUGGAAAUUUAUUUUCAGUGUCGCAGGGAAACCGAUAAACACACCGCCUGGGGAGUACGACCGCAAGGUUAAAACUCAAAUGAAUUGACGGGGACCCGCACAAGUAGUGGAGCAUGUGGUUUAAUUCGAAGAUACGCGCAGAACCUUACCAACACUUGACAUGUUCGUCGCGACUCUAAGAGAUUAGAGUUUUCGGUUCGGCCGGACGAAACACAGGUGCUGCAUGGCUGUCGUCAGCUCGUGUCGUGAGAUGUUGGGUUAAGUCCCGCAACGAGCGCAACCCUCACUUUUAGUUGCCAUCAUUAAGUUGGGCACUCUGAAAGAACUGCCAGUGAUAAGCUGGAGGAAGGUGGGGAUGACGUCAAGUCCUCAUGGCCCUUACGUGUUGGGCUACACACGUGCUACAAUGGUAUCUACAACAGGAAGCAAAACGGCAACGUUAAGCAAAUCCCGAAAAGAUACCUCAGUUCGGAUUGCACUCUGCAACUCGAGUGCAUGAAGCUGGAAUUACUAGUAAUCGUGGAUCAGCGUGCCACGGUGAAUGCGUUCCCGGGUCUUGUACACACCGCCCGUCACACCAUGGAAGUUGGUUACACCUUAAGGCAAAUCGUCAACCUUCGGGAGACAUUUGACUACGGUACGAUCAGCAACUGGGGUG
rnacentral:rRNA from 1 species